UUCCGCAUGCAAGGCUAAUAGCAAGUGCUUCAACCCAGCUAUCAAUGAGUCUGUAGGUUACUUGUGCCAGUGCUUGCCUGGUUAUGAAGGAAACCCGUACCACCCAGAUGGUUGCACAGGUGACGAUUAUCUUUGAUUUACCUAUUCAGCUACUAUUAUAUCAAUAUAAAUUAAUUAAAGCUCUCGCCAUUGGAAGUGCAAGUUUACCAAAUUUAGUGAUGUCUGAUAGGCUUUUCCUUUCCUAAUUUCCCUUUCAGAUAUUGAUGAGUGCAAAGACCCAAACCUCUGCCAGAAAGGACAAUGCUUGAAUCUUCUACCUCCACAAAAUUACACUUGUUCAUCAUGUCACAAAGGAUACAAACACGACGGCACCAAUGACAAGAGUUGCAUCAAAGACGAUCUCGAAAGAAGCUCAAAGAUCGUUCUCCUGCUUAUUGUUUCAUUGGGUAUGUAUAUUUACAUAUUAUCAUGCAUGUGCACCCUAAACUUCUGUUGAAAAGUAAUGACGGACUGAAAUCUAUUUAGCUUCAGGCCUUCAGCUACGUACUUUAUCUCCAAAUUAUAAUAACCUCGUUUUCUCAUACUUUUUCUUCAAAAAAAAGUAACACAGAGAGAAUGCACAAGUCAUUUCCAUAUUUAAGGGAAGUUUUUUUUCUAUUGUUUGUUAAACGAGAGGGAACAGGUGCGCAAAUUGAAGAUUUUUUUUCUUUUUAUUCAUUUUUGUAGAGAAGGUCUUGCAUCUAGAAUCAAAAUCAAGGAAACUGCUACAAUGAGUUAAGGGGAAGAUCCUAGGGAAUCAGAACUAGAAUAAAAGGACAACAUAAUAGCACAGAAAAAAAAACCACCACCCUGUACCUCUGAAUAAGAUCAUAGAGAAUAUGCAAAAGCAAACUUAUAAGAAUAAAUUUGAUGAUGAAUUUUCAACUAUUUGUAGGUGUAAGUAUGGGCUUGUUGGUUUUUUUCCUUGGGAUUUCGUGGAUAUGUUGGGGAAUGAAGAAAAGAGAGUUCAUUAAGCAGAAGGAAAAGUACUUCAAAGAGAAUGGUGGCUUAUUGUUACUGCAACAACUCGCCAGUGAUAAUGGAAGCUCGAUGAAGACAACAAAAAUCUUUACCGCUGAUGAACUUGAGAGGGCAACAAACAACUACCAUGAGAGUAGAAUCCUUGGAGAAGGAGGUAAUGGAACAGUUUACAAAGGAAUACUACCGGAUGACACAGUGGUUGCCAUAAAGAAGUCGAAAGGUACUAGUGCCAUGACCCAGAGUGAUCAAUUUGUUAACGAAGUGAUUAUCCUUUCUCAAAUUAACCACAUAAAUGUGGUGAAGCUAUUAGGUUGCUGUUUCGAAACAGAAGUUCCUUUACUAGUAUACGAAUUCAUUACCCAUGGCACUCUUUAUGAGCACAUUCAUAAAAGAAGAUCACCUCUCCCUUUUGAAUUACGAAUGAAGAUAGCAACUCAAAGCGCAGAAGCAUUGUCUCACUUACACUCGUCAAUUUCCACACCAAUCAUACAUCGAGAUGUGAAAACGGCAAAUAUUCUGUUAGCUAAUGAUUACACGGCGAAAGUGUCAGAUUUCGGAGCUUCCCGUUUGGUUCAUUCAGGAACUGAUAUGCAAACUUUGGUGCUCGGGACAUUUGGAUACCUAGACCCUGAAUAUCUGCAAUCAAACCAGCUAACAGAAAAGAGUGACGUUUACAGCUUUGGAGUUGUCCUAGUGGAACUAAUAACAAGCAAAGUUCCACUUUCUAAAGAUAGAUGCUUAGCAAGCAUCUUUGUGGUUUCCAUGGAAGAAGAUUGGUUGGAUCAAAUUCUUGACGAUGAUAUAGUGAACGAUGGAAACAUUGAGACGGUAAAGAAAGUGGCCCAUCUCGCAAAGCGAUGCUUGAUGGUAAAAGGGGAGGAAAGGCCUACCAUGAAAGAAGUUGCGAAAGAGCUCGAGGAAAUAAUGAGUGUCACAGCAAAACAUCCGUGGGGAUUUAAUGCUAGUUUCUACCGAGAAGAGACUGAGUACUUGCUCGGGUCACUCAAUUCAGACGGUUACGUCGUUGGUGUUGGGGAUGAUUGCAGUUCUAGUGGUCUAACCAGUGGUACGGCCAAUGCAUAUGACAGCAUGCAAAAACAACUGCAGUUGAUGCCAUAUGGCGGUGGACGUUAGUUGGAUCGGUGUCGCUUGUAUGUAUUUUAGUAUGGUUGUUUCUGUCAGAUAAGUGCGUUUUCACAUUUUGCAAUUGUUGUAUGUAAGUAAUCAAGUGUGGUCUUACAGUCUUACUGGUGUUCUUUUGCUGCUAUUGUGCACACUUAGCAAGCAACUGGAUUUGCCUUAUCUAUGAGGUUAAGGCCUUUGCCUUUCACACGUCUACUAGUUGAGGAGACAUGUAUAUUACAUAAUAUGCAAACUAGGUAGAUAUGUAUUACACUAGUUGAAUUUGCAUGCCGUCACUAGUUUUCGCUUGGAACAUUUCCACCAGUCAUGUCAUAUUCAUAUAUACAAACCACUAAGGAUAGUGGGGUGGAAAACUCUGUCUUGGCUAACCUCCAGGUCUGGAGUUCGAAUCCCCAUGAAAGCAAAGUGGCUAGGCACUAUGCUGCAAUGCAUAGUUGGAGCAUUUCACAUGCGCCGGCGGAUUAGUCCUUAGGCCUACGAAGUCUUUGGGAUACCGUGACUUGAUCAAAAAAAAAAAAAUAUUCAUAUAUACUGCAAAUUUGAAAAUUUCCACCAGACAAAUCGUAUUGCAAAAAGAAAUUGUUUAAUUCCAUUUAGAUUACUUGGCACCUUGACGACUUCAUCUUCAAAAACUUCUAGUCUCCUACCUCAACUUGUCACCGUGGUCAUCAACUGUAACGGAAAACGAACUGUCACAUUGACAUAGCAUAGAAUAUUUAGUUAGUUGCAUAAAAUUAUCAAUGAAAAUGGAAGUUGUGCCCCGUCAGUUAAUUUAGAGUGAUGUGGUGAAAAGAAUUCAAAAGCCAACUCUAGACCAAAAAUAAACUUUUACCACCUGAUCAGUAAACAAAUCACGUAUAGGCAGAAGGGUCCUGGCUUGGCAAAGGAGGCACAUCAAGCUUUCGUUUUCUUGAAACCGAUUGAUCUCAUAACUUGUGCUUGACUUUGAUAUAACAUCUCUUCUAUAUUAACUGCUUGCAUCUAAACUAAAAGAUACCAACUUUUUGGGCUUACCAAGUGGCUUCGGGAAAUAAGAGAGACGACCAAGACAUUUUGAUUCGCUCACAACCUCUUCCAUUUGUCUACAAAAGCGAGCUUGCAAGCACAACUUCACUCAUAAGAAAUACAGUUUAUACAUUUAUACCUCUCAAUUUAAGUACCUGAAUCAAUUGGUGAAAGUAGAUUACCAAGUAUGCAAUUCAUACUGCUGGUGCUACUGGUUCUCCUCGCAUUUGCGGCCGCGGGCAAAGAAGCAGAAACAGCUGAAGCCCGCCCGCCUCAAGCCCUUCCUGGCUGCACUGACCACUGCGGCAAUCUCACCAUUCCAUAUCCCUUUGGCAUAGAGCCUGAUUGUUACAAGACAGAAGACUUUUAUGUCUAUUGUAACACAACCACUACACCCCCAACAGCAAUGUGGAACGAUGGUCCCAUUGCUAUUAACAACAUAUACCUGCCUGCGGGUGAGAUGCAAAUAACGCAGUACGUAGCCUAUGAGUGCUAUAACAGCCUGGGCGAGAAUGAUUACAACCAACCAUUGCUUGCCGUGCCUCCUUUCACCGUCUCUCAUACUAGAAACAAGUUCAUUGCCGUUGGUUGCGACACUUCUGCAGCUUUCAGAGGUUACCGUGCAGACGAACAGAGGUUAAUGACCGGAUGCAUGUCCAUAUGUGACAACCUUGACCGCAUUGAACAGUCUUGCUCCGGGGUUGGGUGUUGCCAAACUGACAUCCCCAGCGGACUUGAGAAUUACACUCUCACACUGGAAAGCUAUUAUAAUCACACAUACAUACUGGACUUCAAUCCAUGCAGCUAUGCCUUCAUUGUGGAAGAAGGCAAGUUCACCUAUUCCCCCGAAUACAAGUUUCCAAACACUACCCAACACCAAAGAGCUUCCCCUGAUUCUUGAUUGGGAAAUUGGGGAAGGCGCAUGUGAUGAAGCUGAACACAGAGAUGAUUAUGCAUGCAAGGCAAAUAGCAAGUGUGUCAAUCGGACCAUCAGUGAUGGGCUAUUCUAUAUAAUAAAACGAUAAGGAAAAAACCACUGUUCAUAUCUAUUCAGAAUUGUGCUAUUCCCCUGAAGUUUCGUGAAUUAUGUUUUGGCCCUAGAUUUGUUACUGAUUGCAAAACUGUCCUCACUGUGUUGCGUGUUAUUGUUGCUGCGUGGCCUCCUAUUUUCAUUCCACGAAGCUCUCUCGCUCUCUCCGAUCUCUCUGUCUCACGCAUGACGGCGGAAACGAAGAAAAAGGCCGACCGAUCCCGAUCAAAUCCGAGCCAGGGUGAAAGAACAUCGAUCUGGGUAAUUGGGUUUCAGUUUCGUUUUUUUUUUUUUUUUCUAAGAUUCUUCCAAUUGAUUUUUGUAUUAUUUCGAUCAAACCCGAGCCAAGGUGAAAAAAAAGGAUCUGGCCAUAUGUGUUUGGUUUUUGUAUGAUUGUUGUUUUGAAUCAAUAGGUAUUUCUUUUAUCUCAGAUUCUUCAAUGCAUGGAUGCUGUUGAUAUUUCCUGUGAUGCCUUCCUUGAGCCUUUCUUCCUCAAAAACAUUUGCACCGCCGACUGCUACGAGAAGUGCUCUAGAUAAAGGAUUUCGGGACGAUUUCGGGUUGAGGUAUUUGAGCUUCUUCCUUCUGCUUCGUUCGGUUUCCAUUUGUGUUUUUCAUUGUUGAUUUCAUAUUCCGCUUGCAGUUCAUGCUUCAUAGAAUUUACUAUGCUUCAUAGAAUGUAACAUCAAAUAUUUGGUGUGGUAUGUACCAAAAUAUGUAUGAAAAAAUGUAACAUCAAAUAUAUAUGCUCUAGCUGUAUGAUGUAUGAUAGAAUGUAACAUCAAAUAUUUUGUGUAGUAUAUACCACAGCUUCUAUGUUCUGUAAUGUGUAUUCUCUCUGUUUUUCAUUCUUAUCAUAUAGACAAUAUUAUCUGUUCGCUAAUCUAACCAACACGUAUCAGCAGCUCACGCCCACAUGUGACAACAUCAACUUCACAUAGCUGUAUAACCACAUGUCGACAUUAGCUCACAACAGCUUCUUUCAAUUAUCACCUAAGAACAUGACAAUACUUUGCCGUGUGAUCUUCCAUUUAUUUACCAUCACCUUCACCCACGUCUAUAUAAACCUGGAGACAAAUGAACCUGCAUAAUGAAGUGCUCUCCAUUUCUCUUCAUAUUUCUCCGAACAUUUUACACUACUAUAAAGAAAAAUAAUCUUUGUAACAUAUGCCUGGAGAUCAAUCAUUUGAACGAUUUUUUUUUCGCUGAUCUGUACUUAACGCAUCCUUGAAAAACUAAUUCUUCAAGUGGUUGUAUUUCCGGGCGACUGUUACCGUGGUAAUGUCUGCAGCCAUACAACCCAUGUAUGUCGAUCCAUGCAACACAAAUUCUACAGGACAAAUCAGGAAAAGCCUUCCUGAACAACCAUAUAAACAUUUCCUUUUUCUUUCUUUUUUCCUUUUUUUUUUGUACGACAAAUCGACAAUAUGAUCUGCAAACCUAGACAUGAAUUAGUUUGAUAGCAGUAAUUUCAACUCAAAUUCAGUUUUUAAUUAAUGGAAUGUUUAAUAUUCUGUUUGCAUUUACAUAUCAGACAACUGUAUUGGGAUGGAUUAAGCUUAGGAUUGAAGAGUUGGUUUAUAACUUCGCAAUAGCUUUAUUUGUUAAUGUCCUGAUAUUGAUGCACAAACAUAUAAUUGGUCGAAGUUUCAACAUCUGUUGCUAUACAUGGUUAAUGUAAUUGUCAGAUUUGUACAUAGGCUUCUCUUUUUACCUUUUUUUAUACUCUGUUGUGGUUUCUAAUGGGAAGUUUGAGACCGCUUUUCUAAUUUUGGUUUGUCUUGCAUGUUGGUUAUGCAUGAGAUUGAUUGUGGCUAUUUUGUGAAGGUUUUGUGAUAGAUUCCAGAUUUUGGCUUUGAAAUUGUAUGCGUAGCUCCAAUUCUUAGACUAUAUUUCAUACUACUAUAUUAGAAAUAUUUGAAAGAGAAGAAUCAAAUUAGUGUUUGAGGAAUCAAUAAUAAGGAGCCAAAGGGUGCCGACCAAAAACUGGGUUAGAUAUUUACUUAUCUAUAUUUUACUUGCAUGUUAAUGAUUUGGUUUAUAUUGAAUGCUGCCAAUGUAUUAGUAUUUUGGUAUUGCGUAGUUAUUAAUUGUAUAGGAUUGCAGUUUACUACAAUGAAAACAAGGUGUGCCUGUCUAUUUGGUUAUUGUGUCUGUUUUAAGAUUUUAAUGUUUAUAGCAUUUUGAAAUAUAUUAUGUAUUUCAAUUUUAAUUUUUGAAAUUAGCUACGUUUUUUGGGUUAUUUCUUUUAAAUUUUGUUGAGCAUAUGAUUUUUGUUACAAUGGUGAUAGUUGCAGUCCUUUGAUUAUAAUUUAAGUUGAGUUGCUGCUAUCCUACCGUUACGGAAUCAGGGCCGUUGAGCUUUGUUACAAAUUAAUGAAAACAUCAGUAUCAAUUGUUUGAUUGGGGUUGAUAAUUUUUGUUCUGUUUUCAGUGUUGGUUCUUUCACUAUCUGCAAUCAAUCUCAUUCUCUCAAGUGCUUAUCGGUUCCUUUGGUUGGAUUAGCUGUUUAAGUUUUUUGGUUUGGUUUGCAUUUUGGUAAUCUUUUAGGUUUAAUCAAAUUGGGUGUCUGACUGUUUUGCAGACGUUUCUUUCUGUUUUUCCGGUGGUGAUCCCCAGUGUCAGGACAGGUAUUUACUUUAUCUUUUUUUUUACUUGCAAGUUAAUGGUUUGGUUUGUAUUGGAAAAGCUUUCAAUGUAUUAAUAUUUUUGGUUUUGGUGAGGUUUGUGGUGAGUACUUUUUAAUUUCGUAUUAUUUGAUGUGCCUAGCUGAAUGGUUAUGGGUGUGUCUGUUUUAGGAAUAUUGAUGUUUAGACAAGAUUUUAAUAUCUAUCACAUAUUUUAAUUUACACUUUGGAUGUCAUCUGGUCAUGCAUUUUGUUUUGGUGUUGUUUUAAUUACAUUUGGUAUCGCAAUUGACCAUACAAUGACAAAUUUUGCAUAAUGGUACAGGGAAAAAAGACAGAUAUUUUUUAUCUGUGUAUCAUACUUGAGUUUAAACAACAAACAAUGCAAAGGUAUAAUUGCAGUUGUCCACAUAAUAUAAAUUCUUCCAAAAUGGUGUAAAAAUGAGGAUGAAUGUUUGUUACGUAAUUUUAAAUAACAAACAAUGCAAAGGUUUACUGCAUCAAAAACUGAAGUUAAAUAGAUUGGCCAAUAAAGUAGAUGGAAUCUGACACCGGUCCAAUAUCUAAGACAUGUUUAUAAAUCGAUGUUACUGCAAGUGGAUUUUAGUUUGGAACUUUUUAUGUGUAUUACAAUAGUUUUUUUUUUGGGUUACCCAGCAGAACAAAGUAUUUGAUUGAGUGAGAGAUUGCGUAUGUUUGUUUUUAAAUUGACAGCUUCUAUAAUAUUCGCUUCUGGAUAUUCAGGGCCAAAAAAAAAUUAUAAUCAUGAUGAUAUUAAUAUAAUUUGGUACAUUGAAGUGUUAAAAAAAACCUGCUAUUGAUUUAGUGCAUUGGUUUGAUUUGGUGUGGGGAUACAAAUUCAUCUUGCAGCCUACUAGAUUUCAGGCAUUUGAGUUGUUUUGGUAGUUACAAUGGCAUCGCUUAAAAUAUAAUUUGGUAAAAGAAUGCAUGUUUUAACAUGGUGCUGUUAAUGUUAGUUCAGAUUGUUAUUCAGACAAGUGGUGAUGUGUGCUAUUAUUGGGCUCAUUGAUUUGAGAUUGUUUGAUGAUAUUGCCAUUUCAAUUCAGAUUGCGUUGAAUCUAGCUAUAAGUUCUUUGUUUAUUCUUUUUUUAAAUACUUUUUGGACAGUUGUUAAUCCAAUUUUUACUGUUCUGUAUUGUUGCCAUUGAUUUUUAUGAACUGUUAUUAUUUUAUUGAUGCAUUGUUAUUCAUGUGAAUAUUUGUUGGCACUACAGGUUAAGAGAAAACUUAAGGCUUUAUUACAAAAGUAAGGAUAAUUAUUUUGAUGGUUUGCUGUUAUGUCAUCAGACAUGUUUGUUGUACUUUACAUUUUGUGCGUUGCUUGAAUACUUAUUGUUCUAUUAUUUGGUGAUAUUGGAAAGUAAGAUGACUCGAAAGAAAAGAAUUCGGGAGGAAAAUUUGUCAGCUGCAUCGUCUGAACAACUUGGGUGCAGUGGUCCCUCCAUGAAUGCUUCUGUUAACAGUAGACCGGGUGGUGCCAAUGCAUCAAAUGAUUGUGCUGAGUCUUCGUCUACAAGAGGAAUCGAUGCUCUGAGUGUUGGACAAUCUAAUAUUGGGCAGGCGUUUUAUUAGAGAAGAAGAAAAACAAAAGGUUUGUGUUUGGGGUGCUUUGUUUAUUUAUGUGGUUAUCUGAAUUGAAUUUGUAUGACUUCUGUUUAAGAUGGUGUGCUGUUUUGUUUCUAGGUAUAUCGUCUGCAUAUGUAGAUGUCGGAGAUAUGACAAACGUUUGUGUUGAUUGUCAUGCAUUGUUUUGGUUGCAAGAGUCAAAAUUUAUUCCAAGGAAUGGAAGUCCGGUCUAUACAGGCUGCUGCCAGGAAGGUCGGAUUAGGCUCCCGCCUGUUAGACCUGCUCCAGUUUUUUUAGAAUACUUGCUUGAUUCCACUAAUGGUCAAAAGAGUGUGCAGUUUAGAAACAAUAUUCGGAGUUAUAAUACCAUGUUUGCAUUUACUUCAAUGGGAGCUAAUGUAGAUAAGACGGUGACUGAUGGUCAUGGUCCUUAUGUUUUUAAAAUUAGUGGACAGGUAUACCAUCUUAUGGGUUCACUUAUUCCUCCAGAAGGUAAGUGCCCUAAGUUUGCACAAUUGUACAUUUAUGAUACUGAGAAUGAAGUUGCAAAUCGACAAAAAGCUGUUGACGGUUUAGACUCGGAAAUUGUUACUAGAUUGAUUGAUAUGCUUGAUGAAAGCAAUGAAUUGGUUCAGUAUUUUCGUUCUGUUCGAAAUAAGUAUAAUGAAAGAUCUCUGCGUUGUUUAAACUUGACACUUCUUGACAAUGAAAGAAUAAAAGAUAGGGAAUACGAUGUGCCAAGUAGUAGUGAAGUUGCUGGCUUGAUUGUUGGUGACAUUGGGUUGUAUGAAGCUGAUAGGGAUGUAGUUGUCGAUACAUUUGAAAAUGGUUUGCAGCGGAUAUCAAGAUUACAUCCAAAAUUCAUGUCAUUUCAAUACCCAUUACUCUUCCCUUAUGGGGAGGAUGGAUAUCAUGUUGGUUUGAAAUUAUGCGCACGCAAAGAUAAUGAGAAUCGCAAGCGAGAAAGGAUGUCCAUGUGUGAUUUUAUGUCAUACCAAAUACAUGAGCGUGCAAAUGAAUCUUCCACUUUGCUGAAAGGAGGCCGACUUUUUCAACAGUUUUUGGUUGAUGCCUAUGCAAAUGUUGAAGAAAACCGUUUGUUUUAUAUUAGAAAAAAUCAACCCGAUAUUAGGAGCGAGACUUAUGUGGGCAUAUGUGAUGCUUCAAUAAGAGAACAUGAUGGUGAAAAUGUAGGCAAACGAAUUAUUUUACCAAGCACUCAUACAGGAAGUCCGCGGUAUAUGAACAAACAUUACCAUGAUGCUAUGGCUUUGUGUCGGAAGUAUGGCCCCCCUGAUUUGUUCAUAACACUUACUUGCAAUCCAAAAUGGCCUGAAAUUGAAAGAGCAUUGUUGAACAAACAUGGUAGCAAACCUGAGGAUCGCCCAGAUAUUGUUGCAAGAAUUUUUAAGAUGAAACAUGAUGAUCUUAUUAGUUACGUUAAAUCUGGCAAGCCAUUUGGGAAGGCUAUUGCAGGUAAGUACCUUUGUUUACAGCGUCCCCCCUUUCCCUUUUUCCGAUUUAAAACAUUAUGAUAUUUAAUUUUGAUGUUUUUAUUAAUCUCAUUGGUAUACAAUGUAAUAUGCAGAUGUUGCGACAAUUGAGUUCCAAAAACGGGGAUUACCUCACUCUCACAUGUUAUUUUGGUUGGCUGAGAAUAACAAGUGUUAUUCGGCUGUUGACAUUGAUUCAAUAAUCUUUGCUGAACUACCUGAUAAGAAGGUCAAUCCAACUUUAUAUGAUAUUGUGAAUCAAUUUAUGAUCCAUGGUCCAUGUGGUGUGCUGAAUCCUAAAGCUCCAUGUAUGAAAGAAAAUAACUGCAAGAAAUCAUUUCCGAAAGAAUACAUGGAAAACACAUUGUUUGCAGCUAAUGCAUUUCCCAUGUAUAUGCGUCGUGAUGAUGAUUCUAAAUUUGUCAUGAAAAAUAAUGUGACAGUAGACAACCGCUUUGUUGUUCCUUACAAUGCUGAACUUUUGUUAAGAUAUAAUGCGCAUAUAAAUGUUGAAUCAUGUUCUCAGUCAACCUUGAUAAAAUAUCUGUUCAAGUAUAUAAGCAAAGGUCCUGACCGAGCAAGAGUUGGUAUUCACUCUGAUUUAAAUGAUGAAAUUGCAGCGUAUUUAAACUGCAGAUAUAUAUCUCCACCUGAAGCUGCAUGGAGAUUGCUUGAAUAUCCAAUUCAUUCUCGGCACCCACCUGUUGAAUUGUUAAAGAUACAUUUACCAGGACAACAAACCAUUGUUUUUGGUCAAAAUCAACCGUUAACCUCAGUCAUUGCAAGACAAGGAUCAGACGAUACUAUGCUCACAUCAUGGUUUCAUGCAAAUACAAACGCGGAGACAAAGCAUAUAGCAAAUAUGUUGACAUUUGCAGAGUUUCCUUCUGCCUUUGAGUGGAAUAAUGGUACAAAAACUUGGACACCACGACAACGAGGCUAUGCAAUAGGUAGAUUGCCAAAUAUAAGUCCGACGAGCGGUGAGUUAUAUUAUUUGCGCCUACUUUUGAACACACGUAAAGGCUGCACAAAUUUUAAAUCUAUUCGGACAAUAUGUGGUGUUGUGUAUUCUACGUAUCAAGAAGCAUGCCGUGCACUCGGGUUACUAGGUGAUGAUAAAGAGUGGAGUGAUGCUAUAACUGAGGUUGUACCAACAGCAAUGUCAUAUCAAUUGCGCCAUCUAUUUGUUACAAUUUUGUUGUACUGUGAUGUUUCAAAUCCGUGUCAACUUUUUGAAACACAUUGGCGUAAUAUGUGUGAUGAUAUUAUAUACAAUGUCCGUUCUGAUUUUAUGAUGCCACACCUAAACAUAUCUGAACGAGAGUUACGAAAUUCUUUGUUGUUUGAGUUAGAGCUACUUUUUGGUAAUGCUAAUUCAUCGUUAGCGAAGUACCAUUUACCAUUGCCAGAUAAGGAAAAAAUGUUCGAGUUGAAAAACAGGCAAUUGAGAGAGGAAUUAAAUUAUGAUUGUGUCGCUUUACAAAAAGAGUACCGAUCUUUAGUAGCAGAAUUAAAUGAUAGCCAGAGAAGAAUAUUUGAGAAUGUGAUUAAUGUUGUUAAUAACAAAAGUACUGGCCUUUUUUUGUUUAUGGUCAUGGAGGCACAGGGAAAACAUUUUUAUGGCACACCAUUAUUAGUAAGCUAAGAUCGGAAGAGAAGAUUGUGUUAGCAGUCGCUUCCUCUGGAAUUGCGUCAUUGUUAUUACCAAACGGGAGAACUGCUCAUUCCAGAUUCAAGAUACCAAUUGACCUUACUGAUGGUAAGGUCUCUUCAAUAACAAAGGGAACACAUCUUGCUAAAUUGGUUGAAAAAACGGAUUUAAUUAUUUGGGAUGAAGCACCGAUGACUAAUAAGUGUUGUUUUGAAUCUUUAGACACUUCACUUAGGGACAUAUUAUCGUAUCGUUUUACACCGGGAACCGUCCCGCCAUUUGGUGGUAUGCCUAUUGUACUUGGUGGAGAUUUUAGGCAAAUAUUACCAGUUGUAAUUGAUGGGAAAAAGUCUACGGUAAUUGAUGCAUCAUUAAAUAGUUCUUUGUUGUGGCCAUUGUUUAAGAUCUUUUACUUGACAGAGAAUAUGAGACUGCGAAAAAAGGAAAUAAGUGAAGAGGAAAAACAACAAAUAUCAGAGUUUGCAGAAUGGUUGUUAAAUGUCGGUGAUGGAAAUAUAUGUGGCAUAGAUGAUGAUUGUGAUAGAGAUUCAAGCUGGAUAGAAAUACCGUCUAAUAUGUUAAUUGAUAACACAAGUGAUCCAAUUCGUUCUAUAUUUCAUGCUACAUACCCAGAUUUUCUCAAAAACUACAACUGUUUCGAUUAUAUUAGAGAACGUGCAAUUAUUACACCUAAAAAUGUUGAUGUGACUGGCAUAAACAAUUAUGCAAUAGAUUUACUGCCUGGUCAUACAGUAACCUAUUUAAGUUGUGAUUCUAUAUGCUUGACAAAUGAUAAUGCCGACAAUUUAAGCUCAUCAUAUCCACCAGAAUUGUUGAAUAGUAUUGAAAUCAGCGGAUUGCCAUCACAUAAAUUAGUUUUGAAAAAAGGAAUGCCUGUUAUGCUACUUAGAAAUUUAAACCAAACAAAUGGUUUGUGCAAUGGGACAAGAUUGAUUAUCACAAAUUUAUUUGACAAGAUUAUUGAAGCUAGGGUGUUAACUGGAACUCAUGUGAAUGAGAAAGUUUUUUUGCCAAGAAUUGUAAUGUCUUCUUCUAACCAGAAAUGGCCAUUUAUAUUGAGGAGGAGGCAAUUUCCGAUUAAAGCAUGUUAUGGAAUGACGAUAAAUAAAAGCCAGGGCCAAUCAUUAAAACAAGUUGGUUUAUAUUUGCCUCAGCCUGUUUUUAGUCAUGGACAAUUGUAUGUUGUUUUAUCUAGAGUAACCUCAAGAGAAGGAAUUAAAAUUAUGAUUUUAAACGAAGACAUACCAAAUACGUAUACAAAGAAUAUUGUGUAUAAAGAUGUGUUGAAAAAUUUACAGUCGCAUUCCGACUAAUAUUGUGUAAAAUGUCCAUACAUGAAACCCGGUUGAUGAUUACAAAUAUAUAUGUCAAUGUCAUUGAGGCACAAGUUUUGACCGGAACACAUGUUCAUAACAAAUUUUAUUUACCACGAACUGUACUGUCUGCAUCAAAACACAGAUGACCUUUUGUUUUAAAAAGAUGCCGAUUUCCAAUAACACUGUUAUGGAAUGGCAAUAAAUAGAAGUCAGAACCAAUCAUUAAAACAAGUUAAGUUAUACAUGUCGCAACUAUUUUUCACUCAUAGACAAUUGUAUAUAGCUCUCUCAAGAGUAACAUUGAGAAAAGGAAUUUACAAAAAAAAAAAAAAAAAAAGAAUAUACCAGAAAAAAAAUACUAAAAAAUAAUGAAAACAAAAAUGUUUUGCAAAGUUUGAGACCAACUCUAAAGCUCAUCAUCAACCGAUACCUCCACCAAUUAGUCCUUCUAUCUUCAGCAAAACAAUGAAUAAAAAUUUGCAGGCCAACAUCAACAAGCCAAAAACCAAACCUUCAGUAAAUAAAAAAAACGGAAGGCAAAGGUAAACAAGGGUAUAAUUGUCAAUUCUAAACAAGCCCUAUGUGUAUAUAACUAUACAGCUCUAUGUAGAAGCAGCCGACUCAGAUCUUUCACUUUCAGAUUUGGUUAUAUCUCUAACCUGCACAUCUAUUUUCUACUUAGCAGUGAUCCAACCUACAAAUCCAACCUACAAACUGAAGACAGGUAUUUUGUUUCUCUGUGCUUGCAUAAACGAUCAAAACUACACAGAUUGCUUUAUUCAAUUAUGCAUAUCUUAUUUGAUACUCUUAGAUAAAAAACAAAUUCAGUUGUUUUGGUUGACAUACUUUCAAAAGUGUAAAUCCUCUCUUCUAUGCAACCCAACAACCAUAAAAUGUCUCUUUUAAGUCUAAUCACAAUUUCAUUCUUAGUAUAUUACACUGUCGCUGUCGAUGAUUCCCAUCUUUUUUUUUCCCCCAAAACAGAUCUGCUUUUGCACCAUGUCGACUACCCGAAUUCGUGACAUUAGUCCUGGAACGGGUGGCAUGAAGAUAAAGGUUCGAGUAUCCCGAAUGUGGAGAGGAAAAGUUCUCAAGCCUGUCCAACGAUAUGAUGGCUUGGGAUGCGUGUUAGUCGACCAAUAUGUAAUUGUUAUAAUAGUUGAAUCAUUUUUAACAAGCACCGAUUCAAACAUUUCUGAUCAUUGUCUAUAUGUUAUAUAAUUAUGAAAGAUACUUAUUAUAUCUAUCAAUUGUUACACAUACAGGGUGACUCCAUCCAUGCCGUGGUCAUGGAAGCUGACAUUGAAGAUGUCUUAAGCAAUAUGGCGGAAGGUCCUGUCUAUGAAAUAAGCAAAUUUAGGAUCAUGAAAAAUCAAGAGUCUCAUCAAGUUGUGCCACAUACAGCACAGCUGCAGUUUAACAAUAAAACUGUGUUCAAACUGAUGCGUGAAGAAUUCCCGGCAAUACCCAUACACUGCUUCAACCUACUGGACUACAGCGAACUUCCUGCACGUAACAAAAAAGACACUAUAUUGACAGGUACAAAUUCACAAUCAAGGUGUUCACUAAAUUUAUAUAAUAUGUACAUAACGUUCACAUUUUAUUCUAAUAUUUGAUUGUUAAUCAAACUUCAUACUUUCUAAACGUUGUCUUUUUGCUAAGUAGAUAUAAUUGGGCUUAUAAAGGAGAUGCAUCAAGUUGAAGACACUCCUGUCAAAGGACAAUUGGCAAAAACGCGGGAACUACGAAUACAGAACACAAGGUACCAAAUUGUGAAUAUUUAGGUUAUAAAUAUGUUGACUGUCUAAAGGUUUAAUACACAAUUUCAGUUAUUUGAUAUAUUCAUUUACACACAAUUCUACUGUUGUAUGCGUUUACUGUUUUCCCUAGGAAUGAAGAGCUGCAAGCAACACUUUGGGGAGAACUUGCACUUGACUUUGAUGCAGACAAGAUACUUCAGUCACCCCCGCCAGCUGUGAUAGUCAUUACGAGUUCAAAAGUGGCCACGUAUGCAAGUAAGAACAAAUGUCUUUUUUCUCGACGAGAUCACACUAUUUAUUAUUUCGAAUUGAAUUACUUCUAUUGUCUAUUCUUAGAGAAAAUAGUGGUCAACACAAGCUUGAACAGCUGUGUCUUCAUCAAUCCAAAUAUUCCUGAGUUACAGGAAUACAAAACAAGGUACACAUUUAAAGAUGAAAAUAUGGCCAUAAUUGACAUUCGGUAUUCAUUGUGUGCUAAUAUCAAAUUCUGUACACCUCAAUAAAAUUGUAGGUUCUCAGCCCGAACUAUGCCCCAAAAUUCAUACCAAGCUCAGGCCAAAGCACAAGUUCUUCUGUCACAGAAACAUCAAACAUAAUCAAUAUCGGCAACCUCAUCUUACAAGAUGCAGAUGAAAACAAGGUAACAACUUCUAAAAGGACAUAAUUUAUUUUUAAUUUUUAUUUUAUUUUUUCCUUUUGAAGCUCUAAAAAGACAUAAUGUUGUGCACCUGUUGUUAUGUAUAUUAAAAAAAUUACAACUAAUGUCAUAUGUGACUUCAAAAUGUCUAUAUCAACAUAGGAUUCCAUGUUCACCUGUCGAGCUAAAAUUACAAAAAUCAUCACUCGCGAAGGGUGGUACUACUUUGGUUGUCCAAUCUGUAGAGUGAAGCUACAAAUGGGAUCCGACUCUGUAUUGAAUAAAUGUCCAAACCAUGGAGAGCAAGCUGGAAAGCCAAAGUAAGCAAAAGAAAUUUUUUUGAUUAACUAAAUCUAUGAUACAUUUGUCUAAAUAACUCCACUGAUACUAAAAGUGUCUAUGUUGAUUUCACGGCCUUAUUCAUCUUGAAUAUCGCAUGCGUAAAUUUUUUUAUGAUGGUGUUACUAUUACAGGUACAAGAUGCAAAUUCGUCUCGAAGAUGAAGAUGAUUCAACUUUGGCCAUGCUCAUGGGCAAACCUGCAGAGAUACUAUUUAGAAAACCCUGUAGCCAAUUGAUAGAUGAAGGAAGUACAGAGAAAACUGUCAUCCCGAAAAUCAUCCUUGAUACAAUGCACAUAUACAAAAUCUGGAAGAUUGGGUUUGGUACAAGGAAAGAUUUCAUGGUUAGAGGUGUUUACCCUGACACUGAAAAGGUUGGCCAAGAGAUAGAAGAACCAAAGACAUCGGGGAAACUUCCCUUGAAGAGAAAAUCAUGGUCACCAAAAGAAAGCACUCUGCAUCAACUUUUGGAGUCCGACAAAAAAAAAAAAAAAGGUUUCAAUCUUUACUAUAGUGUCCAUCUAUUCUUUCUUAAUGUAGAUACUGAAAUAUUUAAUGACUUUUACAUCAUAAUUGACAGGGAAGCAGGAGGCAGUAGCAAGGACACAGCAAAACCAGAUUAAGUUAGACAUGAUAGCUCCAUUGUAAUAAUCUAACUAUGUUUUGGCUACCAACUUUUGCAAGGGCGAUGGUGUGUGGAAAAUGCCCUCUUUUGUUCAAAUGAUGUUCUAGCUUGCAACUGGAGCCAAUGUGAUCUGUACAGUCAAAUAGUUUUUGGUGUGUGUGUAUAUUAACAGCUUAAUCUACAACGUUGUAAUCGUUACAGGAAAAUGGCUUUUUGAUGUGAAAUAGUUGUGAUCUGUACAGUCAAAUAGCUUCUGGUGUGUGUGUAUAUUAACAGCCAAAUCUACAGACUUUUUGAUGUGAAAUAGUUUUUGGUGUGUCUCUAUAUAUGUAUAUCAGUUACCAAAUUAAAGGUGUUGUAAUUGCCUUAACUGAUCUUUAUAUCCACUUUACUAUUAUUUGUUUUCAAGUCGAAAUGUAUGUCAAUAUCUCACUUUAUUACAAUUAAUUUUGUUUCUUAGUAUUAAUAAUCAGAACAAAAACAUUUAAAGCAGUCAAUAACUGGUACCCGCAGCAACGCGCGGGCACAUACCUUGUAUGUCACAAAGGGCCAGUACUAGGGGUGACGCAAGUGCCUCCUGUCUCAAUGCAGGUUCAGUUGGGGGCAGGAGGAGGGGUCCCCGUAGUCGCAGUUCCUAUACGGCUCUCAAUGCUGCUCCGGGUGAAUUCCAUCAACCACUUGCCUCGGCUCUUAAUGCUGCUCCAGGUGAAUUGCAUCAACCAUCUGUGGCGGUUGGUGUUUUCGAGACGCCUGCUAUGGUCAGAAUGGUACGAAGAUCACAGAAUAGAAAUCAACCUGGACCAUAUUACGUCUAAACUCCACCUCGUUUUAGCACUAGUUCUAUAUACUAUAGCAGGAAGGCAAUAUAACUGUUUAUUCAGGUAGAGAAAUGACGGUGUUACCCCCGGUUUGCAGAAAAUUACAAAACUGCCACUGCAGCAUCUAUCUCCACAGCAAUACGUGAACACAUGAAAUGUCUGUUUUGCCCCUGCUUCGUAACUAAUCACAAAAUUGCCAUUAUCUGCUCUGUCUUGACAUCUGCUGUUUUUAUAUUGCUGUGUUGGACAUCUGUGAGUCUGGAUUGCUGCCAUGUGUCUUGGUCGUUGACGUCUGGCGUCGAUGGCUUCUUCUCCACGAUCGGUUCGAGUGUAUCGAGUGUUCAUUGACCAUCUUCUUUGUCGCUCUUUGUUGUGAGAGAGAGAUGGGUUAUUCGUGAAAUGAAAAUUUGUAUGGCUCUUCUCAAUCAAAUGGUCGAGGUAAUGAUAUUUGUUCUGUAUAUGAUCGAUUCUGGGUUUCUAUUUCGUUUGCCCUGAUCGUAUUUACCAUUGUUUUGAUACCGAUGCGUUCAUUCAAUUGUUAAACAGGUGUCUGGAUUGCGAUCCAUAUUCCUUAUGAAAAAAGGUAUUGUGUUGUUGUAUCCAUGAACAAUCAACUUAUUUUAUUAUGCCUCAUUCUUGGUGCAAUUACAUGUUAUUUCUGUUCAGUUCAUGUUCAAAUUUUGCUCAAAUUUCAUUAACAGAUUAUACUCUUGGAUCCUAAUUAAAAUUGAAAUUGAGGAGUUUGUCAAUUUUUUUUUUGGCUCUAUUUAAGGGUGUUGAAAGUCUUUGAUGGUUCCAUUUGAUGGUACAUUUGCAAGAACUGCAUGUAUUAACAAUUUGUAUGUUUCAGAUCUCGACUUCGCUAUUCUGGACUCUGGAGAUGAAUCAUUUUGCAUUGGUUGAUGGAAAGCCAUAUCCUUUCGAUAUGAGAGGUGAGUUGGAUGACACUGGUGCUUUCAAGAACUUCAGUAAGUACAUUCACUUUACGUUGUUAUUACCAUGAAUCAUGAGCAUAUGAGCUAACAAAUCCUUUGAAGUUUGAACUAUAUCAGGAAAAGUUUAAGUGUUUGACAAAUCAAAUGAUGGAGCUAAUAUAUUAGAGUAUUUGCAGAAGAUUUGUUCAGUGAUAUUGGGGAAUUUUUGAUUUUGCAGGCUGGAAUUUUGUGUAAUGCGUGCAUUGGUUCAAUUUUCAGGUAUGCAUUUUAGUUGUUUAUUGGAAGAUUGAUGAUGUGUGGUGUUGAUGGAAAAAGUUAUCUGUACUUGACUUUGACUUAUUAAUAAAUCGGUUCUCUGCUAAAGAUAGUAACAAUUGUGUCAAAUUUUUACAAGAAUUUAUGACAGUACACAUUGUUCUGAUUUUUUCCAUUGAGCGUUGCCAAAAACAAUAUCCAAUUGAAUAGUAGGGAGUUCUUUGGUCAAUGAAUUGAGUACAGAAAAUUAGGGAGUUCUUUGGUCACUGUGGACUACAAAUUGGAAACAUUUGGUACUUCAGGUCUAAGAUUUCAAUAGUUUUAGAUAUAGCUUGAGGCCCAAUAUUGAAACAUUGAAAUCUUCAGUGAUCAUUAACUUACAAGGUCUGAUAGGAUUCAGUUCAAAAAGGGUCAUAUUAACAAAGGAAGUUUGGAAACUGACACCUGCAUUUCAAUAUCAAAAUGUAUGUCUAAAGUUUAGAUGAAUAUUAAAUACUUUCGAUUUUGAGUCUUAGCUGCUUGCAUUAUAAUACACGCUCAUUGCAUCCCUUUUUUGUACGUUUUGAUUUAGAUUUAUGCUGCUAUUGGAAAUGUUGGUGGAAGGGAGUUAGCUGUCAUCUUUUUAGUUCUUAUAUUUAUUUAGAACUACUCAGAAGGAUCUGUUUCAGAUGGAAGCAAUAGCUGAUAUUGUUGAUUAUUCAUGAGGGGUAAAAUACUCUUAACAUGUUUACUUAUCGUUUACUAUUUAUUUCAUUUACUGUUUGAAAAUGCUAGAUAUGUUUCUUCCACUGAAAAGUUCUCUGUGACCAGGAGACUACCAAAGGUUGCAGGAAAGUCUACAAUUGAACAUCAAGUUUGGAUAAUGAGUUUCUGAUAAUUUUGAAAUAUAUGUGAGAGCAUUAUAACUUUCAACAACAUUUAAACACUUUAAGACCAUUACUGGUUUUCAUAAAUGUGUUGUGGAGCUAUUCAAAAUAAUGAAGGACAAUAUUGAGCUUGCAGUUUUUGCAGAAGAAUUUUAAUGGGAAAUAUAUAUCAGUGUUGUCAAUGCGUAGGAAACUAUCAUUAAAGCUUUGAAUGGUGUUGAUCAUCCAUCUUUAACAAGUCUCUUCUAUUUACUUUGGCAGCAUUGAAACCCUCCAAUGCUGGUAUCAGGCCUACUUAAUUGUUUGUUCAGUUUCAACUGUUUAAGGAACAUGAGCAUAUGAGCUGACAAAUCAAUUGAUCUAUUUCAGAAAAAGUUUCUGUGUUUUGACAAAUGAAAUGAUUCAGCUAAUAUACUGUAGAGUAUUUGCAAAAGAAUUGUUCAAUGGGGAAUAUAUCAGCUUGGUUGAUGCUUUGGGAACUAAGCAUAAAGCUUUUAAUGGUGUUAAUUAUCCGUCUGUACCAAGCCCUUUAUUUACUUCGGUAACAUUGGAGGAAUAUGAUUUCAGUAUCAAGUCUAUGCAAUAGUUUGUUCAAUUUGAUUCAACUGUUUAAAGGAUGAGCUUAUGAGCUUACGGGUCCAUUGAACAGUUAGCUUAUGAGCUUUUUUAUAUAUUCACGUUUGUCCCAAUCUGAUAUUUGUGGCCAUUUGUACAUGGUUCAGAAUAAUAUUCUUCCUCGGGAAUCUUUGUAGAGUAUUCAAGGCAGCGAGAACUAAGUCACCCAUAACAAUCAAAACACAAAUUAGUAGACAAUUGAGAGGUAAUUGAGAGCUACUACUUAAUAUAACUUACUUUCUCAUUGCAGAGGAGAAGAGAGCAAAAGGGCUUCCAAGUGAGUGUUGCUUAUAUCUAUAUCUAUACAUUUGUUUACUAUUUCAGAACUUAUUUAUGUUUCGCUGGUGUGGUUCAAAUGAAACCUCUGACAAAAAUAUAUUCUUUACUUUGCAGAGGACAAGGAAGUAAAGGGACCUCAAAGUAAGUUUAGCAUUUCUAUUUCAAAACUUAUUUAUGUUGCGAUGGUGCCCUUUGAAUGGAAUGAUCUAUGAUCAUCUUCUGAUGUUUAUCAAUUGACAACGAUUAGUAGCAGUUUCAUUUACAAUCAAAUCGAAUUUCUGUCUAAAAUAUGUUUUUCAAUUUGCAGAGGAGAAGGAAGCAAAUGGACACCAAAGUAAGUGUUCAUUAUAUCCAUAUCAGUGCAUUUGUUUUCUCUAAAAAUUUAUUUAUGUUGCAGUAGUAUGUCUUGCAUUGGUUUUGUUUAUCUUUUAACAACUUUAUCAAUAUUCAAUGCUUCAAUUUAAAUGUUUAUGUACUAGACGUCAACCAAACAAAGCUAAGUCCAAGACAAAGGAGGACUAAGGUUUCUGUGCUUAUAUAUAUGCUCGCUCCCCAGCAAUAGUUUUUUUGAUGCUAAGUUGCUAACAGGUUAGACGUACAUGGUUCUAACUACAGAUCGACUAUUGUUUUGACUAGCAAUGGGAAGCGUUUUGCUGUGCAGAAUGAUAUAAUAACACAUGACUUAUUUUUUGUGCUCUCAGUUAUUUUGGUGUGUAUGACAGUGUUGUCUACAGAGAGAGCAAUGUACUGUAUAAUACUACAAUGUGAUGUUUUUGUUUGAUAAGUCAUGUGUAUUGUAGACGCUAAGUUAAUGGAUUUUUUGUAAUCUAACAUUUUCAUUUUUCACCAUAUCUCCAUGUAAUAGUGUGUGUGUGUGUGUUUACUAUGCAAUAUCUCCAUUAUAUUGCUACAUUCAUUGGCAUACCAAACAACAUAAAAAUUUAUCCAAACAAAAACAAUUCCGGUGAUUAAUAUCAGUCAUUGCAAACCGUGGCAUCGCGUGGGCAUCAUCUAGUCUGGUUAUUAUUGCCAAUGCCAGCCGGGUUAUCAAGGGAACCCUUACCUCCCCGAUGCUUGCCAAGGUGAAAUAUGUAAAUAACAAUAUACAGUACAUGUGUAUGUGUGUCUCUGUGUGCACUUUUCAUUUGAUAUGUUUGAGGGUACAUGCGUGUUUGUGUCUGUGAUUCAGUUGCUGCAGCCGGAAAUUAAAGCUCCGGUUAUGGAUUAAGUUUACAUGUUUGUUAAUAACAAUGUGUUUUCCUGGGUUUUUCAGAUAUUGAUGAGUGCAAGGUUUCAAACCCCUGCACCAAUGGACUGUGUGAAAAUUCACCUGGAAGUUACUUACGCUUGUGUGACAAAGGGUACAGAAGCAAUGGAACGAAUAAUCAAAGCUGUAUUCAAGAGAUUCCCAACGACAAAAAUCAAACAAAGACGACGCUCCUGCUUAUUGUAUCAUUGAGUAUGUACUAUUUCUAUAAUAGCACGCUGCAUGCAUCAUCUGAUCAUAUAUAGCCUAAAGUCAAACGUAAACUUUUUUUGAACAAUAAUUAACCUGAUCAGCUAUAUUAGGACCCAAAAUGAAAUUCUCGUAUCUAAUAUUUAAAAUAUGCAUCAUUUACCUUCCUCAAAAAAUAAAAAAAAAUGCAUCAUAUACAAGUGAUUUGAAAUUAAAAAAAGAAAAUGAAAGAAUAUAUAUGCAUCAUAUACAAGUGAUUUGAAGAAGCUUUCACGGUUUCACCUACAAAUGUUAUCCCCUGCUUUUACGGUACCGACUUUUAAAAGCUUAGAAAGUUUGAUUGAUCUAAAUUAUUUCACUAAUAAUUUAGAAUCAAAUAAAAAUAACUAAAGAAUUUCAUCGAACUCACUAUAUAUGUGCAGGUGUAACUGGGGCCUUCUUGGUUCUGUUUGUUGGAAUUUCAUUGAUAUGUUGCAGAAUAAAGAAAACAAAAUUCAACAAACUGAAAGAAAAGUACUAUAAAGAAAAUGGUGGCUUAUUGUUACUACAGCAACUCGCUAACAAUGGAGGCUCAGUGGAGACAACAAAAAUCUUCACCACAGAAGAACUAGAGAACGCAACAAACAAUUACCAUGAGAGUGGAGUCCUUGGAGAAGGAGGCUACGGAACAGUUUAUAAAGGAGUACUAAAUUAAAGGACAACAAAGUGGUUGCCAUAAAGAAGUCAAAAGGAGGUACCUAGUUAAAUAGGGUCGGAAAUACAUUAUAAACGUAAUACUUUAUGUUCUUAUCAUUAUCCUUUCGCAAAUCAACCACAAAAACGUGGCAAAACUAUUAGGUUGUUGUUUAGAAACAGAAGUGCCUUUACUAGUAUAUGAGUUCAUCACCCAGGGGACUCUCUUUGAGCACAUUCAUAAAAGAAGAUCACCUCUCCCUUUUGAAUUACGAAUGAAGAUAGCAACUCAAAGCGCAGAAGCACUGUCUCACUUACACUCCUCAAUUUCCACACUGAUAAUACAUCGAGAUGUGAAAACGGCAAAUACUCUGUUAGCUGAUGAUUACGCGGCGAAAGUGUCAGAUUUCGGAGCUUCCCGUUUGGUUCCUUCAGGUCCAACUGAUAUGCAAACUUUGGCAGUGCCCGGAACAUUUGGAUACCUAGACCCUGAAUAUCUGCAAUUAAACCAACUAACAGAAAAGAGUGACGUUUACAGCUUUGGAGUUAUCCUAGUGGAAAUAAUAACAAGCAAAGUGCCACUUUCUAAAGGGAAAAGCUUAGCAAGCAUCUUUAUUGUUUCCAUCAAAGAAGAUAGGUUGGAUCAAAUUCUUGACGAUGACAUAGUGAAUGAGGGAAACAUUGAGACGGUAAAGAAUGUUGUCAAUCUCGCAAAACGGUGCUUGAGGGUGAAUGGGGAGGGAAGGCCUACCAUGAAAGAAGUUGUCAAAGAGUUAGAGGAAAUGAGUGUCACGGCAAAACAUCCCUGGGAAUUUAAUGCUAGUUUUUGCGGAGAAGAGACUGAGUACUUGCUUGGAUCACUUAAUACAGAUGAUUCCGUGGUACGACCAAUGCAUCUGACAGCAUGCAAAACCAACUGCAGUUGAUGCCCUAUGGCGGUGGACGUUAGUUGAUUGGUGUCGCUUGUAAUGUUUUCUUAAUCCUGUAUGUACGUAUUUUUUAGUAUUGUUGUUUCUGUCUGAAUGUCUGAUAAGUGCGUUAGAAAUAAAAGUGUAUUUUCGCAUUUUGUAAUUGUUGUAUGCAUGUAAGGAAACAAGUGUGGUCUUAGUCUUACAGUACACUUACCGGUGUUUUUUUCCAGGUAUUGUGAUUGAUGCAACUUAGCAAGCAACCGGUUUUCCUUGAACCAUAUAUGUGGUUAAUUAAAGGCCUUUGCCUUUCACACGAGUUGGUGGUGCUUGAAAGUUGGUAUGUGAUGGUCAGCACAUCAAUGGGAAACCUUAAUUUUUGGUUCUAGCCUCACCUAAUCAUCGUUCAUCAAAGUUACAUGAACCCUAACAAUAACACGGUUGAUAUAUACCAGCUUGGUCAACUUGAAGCAUGAGUCCGAUUGUUUUCCCAACUAGCCUUUUGUGAGUGUCACCAAAAUGAUCUAUGAUUUUGGAAAAUUCUAGUAUACAAAUUUGCAUAUAUAUCAUACAAACUAAGUAUGUGGCUAUCAUUGCUUGUAAAUAUAGUAAUAUGACAAUUUUAUCCUCCUCAAAAUACUUCUUGUAUGUCCUUACAUAGAAGUGAGUGGACCACUUUUUGAGUUUGUAUACCAUACACAUCUGUAUAGUAGACAAACCCAUGAUUUUCACCCAAAUCAAAACAAAAAUCGGAAUGCAUAAUAAUAAAGAAUUAGUCAUAGUCAUUUAGGAGAAUCAUAUAUAGCUCUCUGAAAACCCCAGAGAUCAUUUUCUUGACACGAAUUACAUCUCGUUCAAUGGUGAAUGUAAAGAGGAAGCAGUCAUGUACCACGAGCUUGAACUUCUAGAAGAGAAGGGACGCGCCACAUAGAGGGCAUGGCGCUCUUGAAGGAGUCGAAGGCCACCGCUCUGAACCAAGGAGCCACUCACGAUAUUUAACCUAUUUUUUAGUACCUUGUAGGUGUAAAUAUGGAGAUUGAAACUUUUCAUGAAUGCUAACAAUUUUCUUAGAUUUAAAGAAAUAUAAUCUCGAACCUUCCUAGCUCGAAGUACCAAGUCAACAGUUAAGGAUACAUGUAUAUGCAAACUAGGUAGAUAAGUACUACACUAGUUGAAUCUGCAUGCUCACUAGUUUUCGCUUGGAAAAUUUCCACAAGUCAUGUCAUGUUCACAAUGCAAAUUAGAAAAUUUCCUCCAGUCAUGUCAUCUUCACACUGCUAAUUAGAAAAUUUCCACCAGUCAUCUUCGUAUUGCAAAAGGAAAUUCUUUAAUUCCAUUUAGAUCUACUUGUGACCUGGACGACUUCAUCUUAUCGUCUAGAAAUUGACAUAAACUAAUAAACGAAACAAGUUCCUAUUUACAACUACCACCUCAACUUGUCACCAUGAUCAUCAACCAAAACGGAACACGAAUUGUCAUAUUGACAUAGCAUAGAAUAAUUAGUUAGUAGCACAAAAUUAUCGAUGGAAAUGGUGGUUGUGCCCCGUCAGUCCGUUAAUUUAUAGUGAUGGGGUGAAAAAAUAAAUAAAUCAAAAGCCAUUCUAAACACAAGGACCAAAAAUAAUUUUUGCCACCUGAUCAGUAAACAAAUCAAGUAUAGCUAGGCAGAAGGGGUCCUGGCUUGGCAAAGGCACAUCAAGCUUUCGUUUUCUUGAAACCGAUUGAUCUCAUAACUUGUGCUUGACUAUGAGAUAACAUCUCUUCUGUAUUACCUGCUUGCAUCUAAACUAAAAUAUCAAGUUUUUGGGCUUACCAAGUAGCUUCGGGAAAUAAGAGAGACGACCAAGACAUUUUGAUUUGCUCACAACCUCUUCCUUCUAUUCGUCUACAAAAGCGAGCUUGCAAACACAACUUCACUCAGAAGAAAUACAGUUUAUACAUUUAUACCUCUCAGUUGAAGUACUGAGUUAAUUGGUGCAUGCAGGUUACUAAUUAACUAAGUAUGCAAUUCAUAUUGGUGGUGGUACUGGUUCUCCUCGCAUUUACGGCCGCAGGCAAAGAAGCAGAAGCAGCUGAAGCCCUCCCGCCUCAAGCGCUUCAUGGCUGCUCUGACAAGUGCGGUGAUCUCACAGUUCCAUAUCCAUUUGGCAUGGAGGAGGGUUGUUACCUGGGAGAUGAAUUCUUUAUUUAUUGCAACCGUUCGACCCAAUCAGCAUAUUUGAUGGGCAGCAGCAGCAGUAUCAUUGUUACUAACAUUUCCCUAGAGGUUGGGGAGAUGCAAAUAUCGAAGCGAAUAGGGCGAGAUUGUUACGAUAAAGAGGGAAACCGAAACUACAACAUAAGCACAGCAGGAAAGUUCACAUUGGUACCUCCAUACACUAUAUCUGAUGCCCAAAACAAGUUCUACGCCGUUGGUUGUGACACUAUUGCAGCCAUGGGCAGCUUCCGAGGGGAAAAAGAAGUCAUUACUGGGUGCAUUUCAGUAUGCAACAGCCUCAGCAGUGUUAAUAAGAACUCUUGCUCUGGCAUUGGGUGUUGCCAGGUUAACAUCCCCAGUGGACUGAUCGAUCUCACUUUCGAGUUGAGAAGCUUCUACAAUCAUACGAAUGUAUCUGAGUUUAACCCCUGCAGCUACGCCUUCAUUGCAGAGCAAGACCGGUUCAAUUUUAACUCUUCUAGUUUUGAACAACUGAAAGGCAUUGAACGGCUUCCAAUGGUUCUUAAUUGGGCCAUUGUGAAUGACACAGAUCCCUGCGAUGAGGCUCAGAACAGGAAGGGUUCCGCAUGCAAGGCUAAUAGCAAGUGCUUCAACCCAGCUAUCAAUGAGUCUGUAGGUUACUUGUGCCAGUGCUUGCCUGGUUAUGAAGGAAACCCGUACCACCCAGAUGGUUGCAAAGGUGAAAAAUUAUCUUUGAUUUACCUAUUCAGCUACUAUUAUAUCAAUAUAAAUUAAUUAAAGCUCUCACCAUUGGAAGUGCAAGUUUACCAAAUUUAGUGAUGUCUGAUACGCUUUUCCUUUCCUAAUUUCCCUUUCAGAUAUUGAUGAGUGCAAAGACCCAAACCUCUGCCAGAACGGACAAUGCUUGAAUGAGUGAAUCUGCCACCUCCACAAAAUUACACUUGUUCAUCAUGUCACAAAGGAUACAAACACGACGGCACCAAUGACAAGAGUUGCAUCAAAGACGAUUCCGAAAGACGCUCAAAGAUCGUUCUCCUGCUUGAAAUUUCAUUGGGUAUGUAGAAUUAGAUAUUAACAUGCAUGUGCAUCCUAUGACCACCCUAAACUUCUAUUGAACAGUAUUGACGGACUGAAAUUUAUUUAGCUUCAGCUAUACUUUCGUUCCAAAUUCUAAUUUCGCUUAACCUAGUAAUACUCAUACUUUUUCUUCUAAAAGAAGUGAUGAAAAGAGAAUGCGUAC
rnacentral:lncRNA from 1 species